rnacentral:sRNA from 1 species
GCUGGGCAUGGUGAUGCAUGCCUGUAAUCCCAGCAGCUAGGAGGCUGAAACAGGAGGAUCAUGAGUUCAAAGCUAGCCCCAGAAACUUACCAAGGCCCUAAGCGACUUAGUGAGACCCUAUCUCAA